rnacentral:lncRNA from 1 species
GUUUGUUUUACUUCUAUGCAAACAUGUCUCCCCAUUGCACAUUCCCAUCAGGGUUUCCCUGCUGGCUUCCUCAUCUUCUUCCAGUUUCUGGUAGAUCCAGGGACCGUGGCUUGUGGCAGCAUACAGGGAUCUCAGUCACCAUCAUUUCAAGUCAUCUUCCCUCGGUGCUGAGUCUCUUCUUUCUUUACAAGGACAAACUCUACUCCAGUAUAACCUCACCCAAUGGCUAUGACCCUAUUUCAGGUGCCAGGAUUUGGGACUUAAAAAUAUCAUUGGGGGGUGCAGAGACAGUUCAAUCCAUAACCAUUGUUUCAUGGUUAAAUCAGCACAUUUUAGAAUAGAUAUUUCAUUUGUGGGGUAAAAGGUGAUCACUAUCUUUUUUACCGUAGCCCUGGACAGAGCUGCCUCAGAGCCGACCUAUACUCAUUUCAACAGAAGCUGAUUUAGAUGCCCGCUUGCAGAAGUUUCAGAUCUGUUUAGGAGAAAGGGCAGCAGCACAGGGUCUCUGGUGGAGCCCAGGCAUUCUGUCUGGAUCUGUGAUAGUCAGGCGUCGUGCGGGGCAUCAGAAGUUUCCAGAAAUGGCUGCUUUUCCUGUUCUCCCACUCAUCAUUCAAGCAUCAUGUUACUUUCACCAGGCUUUUGAAAUCCUUCAGCUGCCUUUGGGCCUGUGGUGGGGGAGUAUAUGAUGGCAGGGAGCACAUGGAGAAGGAAAACUGCUCACCUCAUGGCAGUUUAAAACCAAAUGUUUUCAAACAGCUGACUUCCACUCUAGCCAAAGAUGGAGUAGCCUGGACAGGAUUAACCACCAUGUCUUAAAGGAGGAGCAGAAAAGCUCUUGAAUGAAUGCAGCUCUAGUCCUACCCAGAAAACCUUAAAAUCCAAAGCCCAAAGAAUCGAACCAUUUCUAGAGAACUUAAUUGUGUACCAGAAUAAACCUCAUGAAUGCUAUGGUUUAGAUAAAAUUUAAGUGUGCACCCCCAAAUUUUAUGUGUUGGUCCCCCAAUAGACAGAACUUUAAUCCCUACUUUACUUCGAUUCCA